rnacentral:rRNA from 1 species
AUACGGAGGGUGCGAGCGUUAAUCGGAAUUACUGGGCGUAAAGCGUACGUAGGCGGUUGGUUAAGUUAGAUGUGAAAGCCCCGGGCUUAACCUGGGAACUGCAUUUAAAACUGGCGAACUAGAGUUGAGUAGAGGGGAGUGGAAUUUCAGGUGUAGCGGUGAAAUGCGUAGAGAUCUGAAGGAACACCAGUGGCGAAGGCGACUCCCCGGACUCGAACUGACGCUGAGGUACGAAAGCGUGGGUAGCAAACGGGAUUAGAUACCCUAGUAGUCC